CAGCCGCCGCGGGAAUACGUAGGGUGCAAGCGUUAAUCGGAAUUACUGGGCGUAAAGCGUGCGCAGGCGGUUAUAUAAGACAGAUGUGAAAUCCCCGGGCUCAACCUGGGAACUGCAUUUGUGACUGUAUAGCUAGAGUGCGGCAGAGGGGGAUGGAAUUCCGCGUGUAGCAGUGAAAUGCGUAGAUAUGCGGAGGAACACCGAUGGCGAAGGCAAUCCCCUGGGCCUGCACUGACGCUCAUGCACGAAAGCGUGGGGAGCAAACAGGAUUAGAUACCCCUGUAGUCCCUGUCUCUUAUAC
rnacentral:rRNA from 1 species